AUUGAACGCUGGCGGCAGGCCUAACACAUGCAAGUCGAACGAGUGGCGGACUGGUGAGUAAUGUCUGGGAAAAUGCCCGAUGUAGGGGGAUACCUACUGGAAACGGGAGCAAAUACCGCAUACCAUCGGAUGGUCCCAGAUGGGAUUAGCUAGUAGGUGGGGUAACGGCUACCCUAGGCGACGCUCCCUAGCUGAUCUGAGAGGAUGACACGCCACACGGGACCUUAGACACGGUCCAUCCUCCUACGGUAGGCAGCAGUGGGGAAUAUUGCACAAUGGGCGCAAGCCUGAUGCAGCCAUGCCGCGUGUAUGAAGAAGCCCUUCGGGUUGUAAAGUACGUUCAGCGAGGAUGCGUUACUCGCAGAAGAAGCACCGGCUAACUCCGUGCCAGCAGCCGCGGUAAUAC
rnacentral:rRNA from 1 species